CAGGCUAUCACCAGCAUUAAAGUUCUGGCUGUUUAGUAAAGUUGUUGUUUGCAUAUGUUUACUUUCUCCUGUUUUCUUCCUUGCCCAUGCCUAAUUUCCUCCUUGAUUUGAGGUAAUAAAGAUGCAUCUCUUCUGUUCAUUACUGUUUCACUGCACUUUUUCCAGCCCUGUUGUCCUUUACCGAUUAACUUGAGAGGUUUUCGGAGUAAAAAAACUGAAGGAAACAAACUUCUGGACACUAAAGCACAUUGGUAACUUGGAAAGAUUAUUUUUUGAAUUAAGGUUCUAAUUUAAGAUCAAUUGGCUUCUUCUAAAGCAGCUAUUCAGUCAAUUUCUCAUGCGGCUGUAGAGCAACCUUUUCCUGCCAAUUUGUCUCAGGAUCAUGCUCUUGGACACCACAGCAGUUUCUCCAUUUUGGCAAAGCAAAGUGCUCUGUAAAAUGCUGGGGCUCUUGAGACUGUCUUGGUCAACACCAAUCAAAACCUGAAUUACCACAUUUGAGGAAGUUCUGAAUAUGGCGUCAAAUUGUCGUGAAUGCCAGGCCUUCAGUCUCCAACUGGUCUUUUAGAGAAGCAACAACUAAUUCAGUUUGCAGAAUCACUUCACAGCAAGCUCGGCUACUUUGAUGAAUUUGAGAAUGUAAAGGUUUCAUUUCUAUUUACCUCAAUAUUAUUGCAUCGUUUGAUGUUUGAUGUUUGAUGUUGUUUUACCGGCAAAAGCAGUGUGACUUACAUAUUGAUAAGUUCGGUUACUCAUAGUUUUGUAUUAGAUGUGCCUAAGGUGAACUUGAUAAUGAAAUCUGAUACUUAUUAUCCAUGUUACAAAGAUCUAAGCUCAACAAGAAUUUUUCCUAAUUUUACUUAAUAAGAAAUUAUUGGGUUUUAGUUUCUUGAA